CUUUCACUACUGCUGCAGAGAUUUCCUCUGGGGAAAAGUAUCAGAAGAACAGUUAUCUGCACCUCGGAUGAAGUGGAAAAUUUAGUUCAACAGGCAAGACAUGUUCCCAGAAAGGGAGGAAAAUAAUCAGGGAAGAUAUUUAAGCCUGUCUGAACACAAUAUCAAGACCUGGAUAAUCACCAGUGAAUAACCACCAAUCUCACACAGAGAAAUUAAACGACUGAUCACUCAUUCCACAGAGCUUUCAGAUCCAAGGAUGAAGAAUGUGACAUAAGAAUUUAAGAAAACAACUGGACAAAAGGUUUAAUGGAUUCUGUGAUUCUAUGGAUAUGUUUUCAAUUUAGAAAGCCUGCUUUCUACAUGGGGUUCUACUUGUGCAGUCUCAGAUGACCUCCAGAGAUCCCUUCCAACCUCAGUCAUUCUGUGUUUCUGUGACUCUGCAAAGUGAUGCUAGACACCUGUGUGUGGACAGCAGAUUCCAAUGUAUACAGCAAAACUCAUAGCUAUCAAAGCUCAGUAAGUAUAGAUGAUCCCACAAGAAAAUAGUAGAUUAAAGCAAUGUUAUCUUCAUUUUUCACUUCAGCAGAAUGUGUCAACUCCUUUGAUAUAAGGCAAUCCAGAAACGUCUAAAAAUCACAACCCGACCAAUCAACUGAACAAACAAAAAAUAAUACAGAAAAGCUGUGAUUCUUUCAGUCUGCAAUUCCUAAUCAGGAGCAUCCCAGACUUGGCUAUGUAUUGCAC